rnacentral:rRNA from 1 species
AUUGAACGCUGGCGGCAUGCCUUACACAUGCAAGUCGAACGGCAGCGCGGGGCAACCUGGCGGCGAGUGGCGAACGGGUGAGUAAUAUAUCGGAACAUACCCUAGAGUGGGGGAUAACGUAGCGAAAGUUACGCUAAUACCGCAUACGCACUAAGGUGGAAAGUGGGGGAUUCGCAAGAACCUCAUGCUCAUGGAGUGGCCGAUAUCUGAUUAGCUAGUUGGUGAGGUAAAGGCUCACCAAGGCAACGAUCAGUAGCUGGUUUGAGAGAACGACCAGCCACACUGGAACUGAGACACGGUCCAGACUCCUACGGAGGCAGCAGUGGGGAAUUUUGGACAAUGGGGGCAACCCUGAUCCAGCAAUGCCGCGUGAGUGAAGAAGGCC